AUCCUUUGAGGUUCAAAAGUGUUUUCUUGUUAUGUGUGAGAGGUGUUGCUCUCAAACCUUGUUCCCAAGUCAGCAUGUUUCCUGUCUGAUG
rnacentral:snoRNA from 1 species